GACGAACCGUCCUAACGUUGUUCGGAAUCACUGGGCUUAAAGGGCGCGUAGGCGGGCCACCAAGUCUGAGGUGAAAUCUUUCGGCUUAACCGGAAAAUAGCCUUGGAUACUGGUGGUCUCGAGGGAGGUAGGGGCAUGGUGGAACUUCCGGUGGAGCGGUGAAAUGCGUUGAUAUCGGAAGGAACGCCGGUGGCGAAAGCGACGUGCUGGACCUCUACUGACGCUGAGGCGCGAAAGCCAGGGGAGCAAACGGG
rnacentral:rRNA from 1 species